rnacentral:rRNA from 1 species
GACGAACGCUGGCGGCGUGCUUAACACAUGCAAGUCGAACGAUGAAGCCCAGCUUGCUGGGUGGAUUAGUGGCGAACGGGUGAGUAACACGUGAGUAACCUGCCCUGGACUCUGGGAUAACCCCGAGAAAUCGGAGCUAAUACCGGAUAGGACCUUUCCUCGCAUGAGGCUGGGUGGAAAGUCUUUCGGUUUGGGAUGGACUCGCGGCCUAUCAGCUUGUUGGUGAGGGAAUGGCUCAUCAAGGCGUCGACGGGUAGCCGGCCUGAGAGGGUGACCGGCCACACUGGGACUGAGACACGGCCCAGACUCCUACGGGAGGCAGCAGUGGGGAAUAUUGCACAAUGGGCGCAAGCCUGAUGCAGCAACGCCGCGUGCGGGAUGACGGCCUUCGGGUUGUAAACCGCUUUUAGUAGGGAAGAAGGGCUUCGGCUUGACGGUACCUGCAGAAAAAGGACCGGCUAACUACGUGCCAGCCGCCGCCGUAAAAC